GCCAGACAUGAGACCAACCAUGGAAGAAGUGGUUAGGAUGAUUGAAGAAAUCAGGCAGCCUGAAUCUGCGAGACACCCAUCAGGGGAGAACAAGGGAUCAAAUACUAAUUUCUCAUAAUCAAUUUAUCCAUGAUUUCUGUUUGGAGUUUUGUUUGAUGCCAGUUCAAGAAACCUAAACUGCUUCUGGUGAGGCUGUUAGCUAGUGUCCAAAGAGUAACUCCACAUGUAAGUAUUUUCUCAGGGUUAAACAUUUGUCCACUGCUUAUCCUUUUAGCAUUUUAGCUUGAAGUAUCUUCUGACUGGCAUUUGUUUCUUCCCAGUGAUUAUUGUAACCAAGUUCUACAAAAUAUUAUCAUAGGUUGACUAUGUUCUAAGAUCUCAUCAUCCUCCUGCAAAUGCGA
rnacentral:misc_RNA from 1 species